UACAGAAAUCUGAACAUUUAACUUAUUGUGUCUUUGCUUGACUCAGGUGCUACACAAAUAUUUAAGAAACUGGACAUUGGUUCGCUGGAGAUAGGGGAUUAUCUUGCAAUUGGUGCAAUAUUUGCUGCAACAGAUUCUGUAUGCACGUUGCAGGUGCUCAAUCAGGAUGAGACACCUUUACUCUAUAGUCUUGUAUUUGGGGAGGGUGUUGUUAACGAUGCUACAUCUGUGGUGCUUUUCAAUGCUAUCCAGAGCUUUGAUCUCACUCACAUUGAUUCCAGAAUUGCUUUGCAUUUUAUGGGCAACUUCUUAUAUUUGUUUUUCACAAGCACCAUGCUAGGAGUGUUUGCAGGGCUGCUCAGUGCUUACAUUAUUAAAAAGCUUUAUUUUGGCAGGCACUCUACAGAUCGCGAGGUUGCUCUUAUGAUGCUCAUGGCAUACCUGUCAUAUAUACUGGCUGAAGUAAGCUUCUCCUCUACUCUGGGCA